UACGAAGGGUGCAAACGUUGCUCGGAAUUAUUGGGCGUAAAGAGCUCGUAGGCGGCUCGUUGCGUCGGCUGUGAAAACCCGCAGCUCAACUGUGGGCUUGCAGCCGAUACGGGCGGGCUAGGAUUCGGUAGGGGAGACUGGAAUUCCAGGUGUAGCGGUGAAAUGCGUAGAUAUCUGGAGGAACACCGGUGGCGAAGGCGGCAUCCUGGACCAACACUGACGCUGAGUGAGCGAAAGCCAGGGGAGCAAACGGG
rnacentral:rRNA from 1 species